AGUUUUCUAAGGGAUCGGCAAUAAAAGCUAAGCUGGUCAAAGCGGAGGGAGUGGGGGCAGUUCUGUAAAAUGAAAGCAGGACGGAGUUGCGACAGCCGAUGUGGAAACUUUUCUCAGAAGUUUAGUCAGCUGAUUGAUACGGUCUUCUCUGAUUUUCAGAAUACACUUUCUCACAAGCCUGGAGGUCAAUUUGUCCUGGUUUAGAAUCCUGUAACUCGUGAGAAAGGAGCCGUUGAGGACAACAGCUUUCCUGACCACCACCAGAGUCUCCUGAUCAUGACAAUCAUAUGGCUCUCAUCCAGGCAAGGAUCGAAAACAUUAAGGAAGAAGGCAAAGAACAUGGACAUAAAAGUAUGGCUAGAUCAAGUAUGGAUCUUGGGGAAAAUGGACAUGGAAAAAAGUAAAAGAAGUGAAAGAAAAUUGAAUGAAAAUAGAACUGCACAAAGAGGAAUUACAAGCCCUGAAGUUAGAAGAAAAUUAAGGAAAAAGUGGAAGGAGUAUUUUUAUGAUAUGUAAGUGAUAGGUCCAAGUGUGCAACUAAAACAAAUGCUAUAAAUGUUAGUAUCCAAGAAACGAACGAUGGAAAGAAUGUCAUAAAUCUUGUUAGAAUAAUAUGUUUCAGGGUGCAGAUGGUUAACCUGGAGGAAUAUUAAAAUACGGAUGUUGUUUGCUUUGGAACUUCUGUUAUACACGUCUGGAGAUUGUAUUUGUGUCUGAUAAUUGAAAGAAUGAUGUCACAGUUGUCCUUUGCAAAGAGAAAAAUAGCAAGAAUGAAUACAGAAAGUAAAGGGAUGAAAUUAAGUCUCUCUAGGCAGAAUUCUGAUGAAACGAUAUGAAAGGUGACAGAGAGAAAAUGCAAGGCAGAGAGUGUUUGAGCUUCCAAGAAGCUCUUAUUCAGCUGCUACUAUAAUACUAAUUAUCCCAAAAGCCAAUAGCAUGAUUGGUGUGUGUGUGUGUAAAAUAAAAACAAAAUAAAAAAUGGCUUCCGUGCU